AGCUAGGGUUUAUGUUUGUGUAGAGCGCCAUGGACGGGGCCACGGACGAUCACAAGGCCGGCAUUGCGAAGUGGUUCCUGCUACGAUCGCCUCCAGGACAGAUCCAGCAGGUCGCCAAAGAUGUCCAGAAGAUUUUGAUGAGUGACAAGCUCUACCAGCAAGCGGCUAGCGAAGCAUUCCCCAUUUACAACAUGGAGCAAAUGAUCUGCCUGGAGCUGCCGGAUGGGAGUGGCCAGGUGCUUGUUAGCAACUGUGGCGCUCUCGAUUCUACGCACUACCUCGAUCUUAGAACCGCGCAGGUAGCAACUGUGGAUCACAUCAAACAGAUUUGCACGAAAAUUCGUCCAGCUACGGACGAGGAGCUUCCCUCUGGAUUUGUUGAAGAGUACAGGUCUGCCAUAGAUUCCGAGCUUCUCAAGUACGUGGAAGAGGCGUUUCCAAGAGGCUCUUGCGCCGUGUUUUGCACCGCUGGGAGCACUGCUGAAGAAGACGAUGCUCCUUUUGAACUCACAGCUCUAAUUUCUGCGUCUAAGAUCAGCCAUCAGAACUUUUCGAGUGGCUCUUGGCGAUCGACCUGGAAGAUUCAAGUGAACCAAGAGCUCCAGUCUGUGGAUCUGACAGGCAAAGUUCACGUGAAUGCACACUAUUUCGAAGAGGGAAACGUUCAACUCGACACCAACUACGAAGGCUCGGAUUCAACCGUACUCCAGAAUCCUCUGGACGUGGCAACAGCCGUGGUGAAUAUAAUCCGUAGCAAAGAGUCCGAGUACUUGUUAUCACUAGAGGAAUCCUAUUCAAAGCUAUCAGACAACACUUUCAAGGAGCUCCGCCGCAAACUUCCAGUGACUCGGACCUUGUUUGCAUGGAACAAUGCGUUGCAACUCAGCCUCUCGCGGGAGGUGACCCGAGAGCUGAGCAAGUGAGUGCUUUCCCUGCUGUUUGAGUGGCUCUCUUAACUUUCUCCUCUCUGUUUUGGUGCUGAGAUAAUGCGAAAACUUCCAUUGAUUCCAAACGUCCAGCUUGCUCUUUUACAGAUCCUCAUGAGAGUGCGCUGGGAUCGAGAUUUAGGGCUCGAAGAUGACAGACUCGUACCACCUUCUUCGCGGGCGGGGCGAUGGCGAUUGGGAUGAGCCGCUGCCCUGCUGUGGAUGCGGUGUUGGAUGGUGCAGCUUCUUGCUGGGUUUCAUCGUGCCGCUCUUCUGGUACUACGGUACCUUCGUCUUCUUCUUCCCUCGAUUCCAGCGAGAUCUUCGGGAGCGCCCCGGAUUCGCAGCCUGUGCAAUCGCAGCACUCGUCUUCACUGUCGGCCUUGUGAUUCUUGUCAUUGUUCUUGCGACCUCCUAAAGCUAGGUAGAUUCAUAAUACUCCUUGUACUUAGAAAAAACUUUCGGAAGAUGAGCCAGCGCUUUUACUUGUA